GGAGAACCACAUGUCUUGGGUGGAGGAGGUCGGAUCGCCUGAAAAGCCCAUGCCAAAAUCCCCACAAACAAGACCAAUAAUAUUUUUGAAAAGAUCCCUGGAGGAAAUUUAAGAGAGCUGUUUUGCUUAGUUCUUCUAGUGUGAGCUCUGGCUGAAGCCGCAGAUAUCUUCCUGUUCACCCCUCCUGUCAUUUCUGGGCAAAAGGUUAAGCCUUGUGAUUUCUUCUCUUGGGUUGACUAUGGAAGGUGGCGAGGCAAGGGACUGGUCAAGGUCUUGUGCCCGUUACGGAUUGUUUGGAAGUUUCGAUGGAGGAGUUCUGAGCUGAAGUGAAGUAAAA
rnacentral:misc_RNA from 1 species